GGGGAUGUAGUUUAAAAAUAACAUUUAAUUUGCAAUUAAAAAAUAUCUUCGAUCUUCCUCA
rnacentral:tRNA from 1 species